CACGUAGGGGCCAAGCGUUGUCCGGAUUUAUUGGGCGUAAAGAGCUCGUAGGCGGCUCGGUAAGUCAGGUGUGAAACCUCCAGGCUCAACCUGGAGACGCCACCUGAUACUGCUGUGGCUAGAGUCCGGUAGGGGAGCGUGGAAUUCCUGGUGUAGCGGUGAAAUGCGCAGAUAAUCAGGAGGAACACCAGCGGCGAAGGCGGACGCUCUGGGCCGGAACUGACGCUGAGGAGCGAAAGCGU
rnacentral:rRNA from 1 species